rnacentral:rRNA from 1 species
CCCUUAGAUGUUCUGGGCAGCACGCGCGCUACAAUGGUCUUCGCAAACGGAUGCAUUCUCGAAGGAGAAUGCCAAUCUUGGAAUCUAUGCCUUGGUCGGGACAGUUGCUUGCAAUUUUUCGACUCGAACCAGGAAUUCCUUGUAAUCGUGAUUCAUCACAUCACGAUGAAUACGUCCCUGCCCUUUGUACACACCGCCCGUCGCUCCUACCGAUCGAGGAGUUAGGUGAAUUGUUUUGAUCGAUAAGAUUUGACUAUGGUCAACUCUCGUUGGGAAAUUCUGUGAAUCUGACUGUUUAGAGGAAGGAAAAGUCGUAACA